rnacentral:rRNA from 1 species
GAUGAACGCUGGCGGCGUGCCUAACACAUGCAAGUCGAGCGAUCUUCUUCGGAAGAGAGCGGCGGACGGGUGAGUAACGCGUGGGUAACCUGCCCUGUACACACGGAUAACAUACCGAAAGGUAUGCUAAUACGAGAUAAUAUGCUUUUAUCGCAUGGUAGAAGUAUCAAAGCUCCGGCGGUACAGGAUGGACCCGCGUCUAAUUAGCUAGUUGGUAAGGUAAUGGCUUACCAAGGCGACGAUCAGUAGCCGAACGGGGAGGGUGAUCGGCCACAUUGGAAAUGAGCCACGGUCCAAACUCCUACGGGAGGCAGCAGUGGGGAAUAUUGCACAAUGGGCGAAAGCCUGAUGCGGCAACGCCGCGUGGGCGAUGAAGGCCUUCGGGUCGUAAAGCUCUGUCCUCAAGGAAGAUAAUGACGGUACUUGAGGAGGAAGCCCCGGCUAACUACGUGCCAGCAGCCGCCGUAA